rnacentral:rRNA from 1 species
CCUACGGGUGGCAGCAGUGGGGAAUAUUGCACAAUGGGGGAAACCCUGAUGCAGCGACGCCGCGUGAGUGAAGAAGUAUUUCGGUACGUAAAGCUCUAUCAGCAGGGAAGAAAAAAAGUCCUUUGGACUUUGGACGGUACCUGACCAAGAAGCCCCGGCUAACUACGUGACAGCAGCCGCGGUAAUACGUAGGUGGCAAGCGUUAUCCGGAUUUACUGGGUGUAAAGGGAGCGUAGGAGGCAGCGCAAGUCUGGAGUGAAAUGCCGGGGCCCAACCCCGGAACUGCUUUGGAAACUGGGCAGCUGGAGUGCGUGAGAGGUAAGCGGAAUGCGUAGUGUAGCGGUGAAAUGCGUAGAUAUUAGGAGGAACACCAGUGGCGAAGGCGGCUUACUGGACUGUAACUGACGUUGAGGCUCGAAAGCGUGGGGAGCAAACAGGAUUAGAUACCCCUGUAGUC